GGGCCGCCCGUACCCCUGAAGACCUGGAGUAUCCCACUCCUCACCGCCUUAGACCCGGAUCCCCGAAGCUGCCAGGAGUGGCUGGACGCUGUGACCCGCCUGAUGGCCAGCUUAUGGUGUGCUUGGUCGAGUGUACGCAUCCUUCCGUCUGCCCAUCCCUCCAUCCCUCCAUCCAUUCUUGCAUUCAACAGUUACUGAGCGCAUCCUCUAUGCAAGACUAUCGGUGGCAUCGAACUUUUGUUGGCAGUGCCUAAGGAAUCCCUGACACAGGGCUGGUGCGUGUAUGUGUGACCAGCUGUUGGGCGAUUUGAAGAGAUCACAAGGGUUUCACACCAUGGAAAAGUAAAACUUAAAAUUCAACAUCUGAUCUCAGGAUCCCUAAAGGCCCAGGAACCUUAUGGUGGAGAAAGGGAAGCUGUUCCUUAUGAAGAAGUCCACUAAGAAGCAUGAAAGGAAUGACAGAAAUAUAAAAUCACCAUUUUAUAAUCAUCCUUGUAAAAAUUGAUGUAGGUGCCUGCUCCCUCCGGUCAGACUCAGCACCUUCGCACUGUCCUGGAGUUUUUGUUUUUUUCCCCUGUGAAACGCACAUGCAGCUGGCUACCCCCUACUUAUUGCAGAUUCUUGACAGUGCCCUCAAAUCUGCCCCUUCUGUUCUGUUCCCACCCCGCUGCCUUUGGUCCGGCCUUGUCUCACCUCAUGCUUGGACUGCUGCAGUAGUAUGCUUGUGACUAAUCUCUUCUCUCUCUCCGCACUCGCCUUCAGCAUCCCCAUCAAUCCCUCCCUGGGAGCGGAGGGCAUGAGAAAACAGCUGGGCCUAUAGCAUUGAGGGAAAACACCCCCCCCCCACACACACACAAAUGCAGGGGACAGACCUCCCAAAAUAGUUUGUCUAACGUGACACCUCCAUCCCCACUCCUGGGGAGACCGCACUUUUCUACACAAACACUGGAUCCGGGGUGACCCCUCUGCUGGAGGUUCUGCCCAGGGUGAGGAGGAGAAAACGAGGGCGCGCUAAGAUCCCGCUGAU